GACGAACGCUGGCGGCGUGCUUAACACAUGCAAGUCGAACGGAAAGGCCCUGCUUUUGUGGGGUGCUCGAGUGGCGAACGGGUGAGUAACACGUGAGUAACCUGCCCUUGACUUUGUGAUAACUUCAGGAAACUGGGGCUAAUACCGGAUAGGAGCUCCUGCUGCAUGGUGGGGGUUGGAAAGUUUCGGCGGUUGGGGAUGGACUCGCGGCUUAUCAGCUUGUUGGUGGGGUAGUGGCUUACCAAGGCUUUGACGGGUAGCCGGCCUGAGAGGGUGACCGGCCACAAUGGGACUGAGAUGCGGCCCAGACUCCUACGGGAGGCAGCAGUGGGGAAUAUUGCACAAUGGGCGGAAGCCUGAUGCAGAAACGCCGCGUGCGGGAUGACGGCCUUCGGGUUGUAAACCGCUUUCGCCUGUGACGAAGCGUGAGUGACGGUAAUGGGUCAAGAAGCAACGGCUAACUACGUG
rnacentral:rRNA from 1 species